rnacentral:lncRNA from 1 species
AACAACAUUAGUAGAAGCAUUUUUCGCUUCUAUAUCUCCAAUGACAUCCACAUUGGUAUUGUUUCGUACAUGAACAUCAGUUUGAACAAUGCCUGCACUUUCCAUUUCCUCACUACUCAAGUUUAACCCAUGAACCAAAUUCCAUGGACUAAUUACCAAGACUAGAAACAGGAUAAGCACCCAGAAAAUAACCUUCAUGAUAAGCUGCAAGUUAAUUACUUAUCCACUAUUGAAUACAUUCUAUAUCCAUUGCACAACUUAUAUAUAUAUAUAUAGAUAUGUACAUACGUACACCAUAUAUAAGGUUAUACUUCAUGUCUACGAAAUGAGCAAGUUGAAGAUUUGUUGCCAACUCAGUCCAUCAUUACAACAACUCUAAAAAGCUGCAAAAAAGAUUAGAAUAAGAGAGUGCAUGAGAUCAAGAGAUGAGACUUGCCUUGUUCUUCACUUCGUCCCCACA